GCCUGGGUGGCUCAGUCGGUUGAGCGUCUGACUUCAGCUCAGGUCAUGGUUUCACAGUUUGUGAGUUUGAGCUCUGCAUCAGGCU
rnacentral:tRNA from 1 species